CUUCAGAAGUUAGAAAUAAGAUUGGCAGAUUCAUGUCCGUAUUCACCCACGCAGCAAAGUACUGGAAGAACUACAUUAUUUCAUCCCACUCUUCAUGCAUGUUCAAAAUAGUUGAUGGGUGAAGGAAUGCUGGCUGGUUUUACGCUAAGAAAAAAGCCUCCACAAGUUCACAUUCAGUACAGAACUGUGCAAGCUCUGGGUAGCAAUGUCAUGGUAGCGAAAGGAGAACAUGUGAACUUACCAACAGGCAGGACACAGUGCCACCUGCAGAGCUGACUUCAGACAGAGCACAGAGGGCACCUGAAGAAUAUGGGAUAGGGCAUAGUGGAUACAGCUCAUCUUGCUGGAGGAUCAUUAGACGAGAUACAACUGUUAAGUGAGAAGAUGAAAAGUUCAUUGUACUCUGCAGAGAAGAAAGACAAUUUUCUUUGUACGACUGGCAGAACAGCCCCAUGGCAGGAUUCGUAGGGUGAGUUAAAACCUUGUUCUGGACUAACUUCUCCCAUAGAGAAGACACGAAA